UGGGGAAUAUUGGACAAUGGGGGAAACCCUGAUCCAGCAAUGCCGCGUGAGUGAUGAAGGCCUUAGGGUUGUAAAGCUCUUUUAAUAGGGAAGAUAAUGACGGUACCUAUUGAAUAAGAACCGGCUAACUCUGUGCCAGCAGCCGCGGUAAUACAGAGGGUUCUAGCGUUGUUCGGAAUUACUGGGCGUAAAGGGCGCGUAGGCGGUUUGCUAAGUCAGACGUGAAAGCCCCGGGCUUAACCUGGGAAUGGCGUUUGAUACUGGCAGUCUAGAAGACGGAAGAGGAAAGUAGAAUUCCUGGUGUAGAAGUGAAAUUCGUAGAUAUCAGGAGGAAUACCAAAGGCGAAGGCAUCUUUCUGGUCCGUUCUUGACGCUGAGGCGCGAAAGCGUGGGGAGCAAA
rnacentral:rRNA from 1 species